AAUAGAUACCCUGGUAGUCCUAGCUGUAAACGAUGAGCACUGGGUUGAGGGGACUUCCACAUCCUCUCGGCCGUAGCGAAAGCGUUAAGUGCUCCGCCUGGGGAGUAUGGCCGCAAGGCUGAAACUCAAAGGGAAUUGACGGGGGCUCACACAAGCGGUGGAGGAUGUGGCUUAAUUCGAGGCUACGCGAAGAACCUUAUCCUAGAUUUGACAUGGUUGAGAAUCUCCUUGAAAGAGGAGAGUGCCCUUCGGGGAGCUCUUUCACAGGUGCUGCAUGGCUGUCGUCAGCUCGUGUCGUGAGAUGUUGGGUUAAGUCCCUUAACGAGCGAAACCCUUAUCUUUAGUUGCCAGCGGGUCAAGCCGGGGACUCUAAAGAGACUGCCGGUGUCAAACCGGAGGAAGGUGGGGAUGACGUCAAGUCCUCAUGGCCUUUAUGUCUAGGGCUGCACACGUCCUACAAUGGCACGUACAAAGGGAAGCCGAAGCCGCGAGGCCGCGCUAAUCCCAAAAAGCGUGCCCCAGUUCGGAUUGCAGG
rnacentral:rRNA from 1 species